CGCGGGAUUAGAGUUUGAUCCUGGCUCAGGAUAAACGCUGGCGGCGUGCCUAACACAUGCAAGUCGAACGCCCUUUUUCCUCGCAAGAGGGGGGAGGGAGUGGCGGACGGGUGAGGAACACAUGGGUGACCUACCUUUCAGUGAGGAAUACCGGCGAGAAAUCGCCGACAAGACCGCAUGAGCUUCCCUCGGUGAGCGAGGGAAGGAAAGCUCUUUUUCGUGCGAACGGAGGGGGGCGCUGGAAGAUGGGCCUGUGGCCGAUUAGCUAGUUGGUGAGGUAACGGCUCACCAAGGCGACGAUCGGUAGCUGGUCUGAGAGGACGAUCAGCCACACUGGGAUUGAGAACGGCCCAGACUCCCACGGGGGGCAGCAGUGAGGAAUUUUCCGCAAUGGGCGCAAGCCUGACGGAGCAACGCCGCGUGCAGGAAGACGGUUUUCGGAUCGUAAACUGCUUUUCUCGGGGACGAGAACGGACGGUACCCGAGGAAUCAGCCCCGGCUAACUACGUGCCAGCAGCCGCGGUAAUACGUAGGGGGCGAGCGUUGUCCGGAGUUACUGGGCGUAAAGGGCACGCAGGCGGUCGGAUAAGUUUGAGGUAACAGCUCCUGGCUUAACUGGGAGAGCGCCUUGAAAACUGUUGGACUUGAGGGCCAGAGAGGGACACAGAAUUCCGGGUGUAGUGGUGAAAUGCGUAAAUAUC
rnacentral:rRNA from 1 species